ACUUCACAGGGCUGUUGUGAAGAGUGGAGAACCACAUCUAGAAGGCAGCCAGUGCAGGACCUGGCUCAGAGCA
rnacentral:miRNA from 1 species